AGAGUUUGAUCAUGGCUCAGGACGAACGCUGGCGGCGCGCCUAAUCCAUGCAAGUCGAGCGACGCAUUCCUUAGCCCGUAAGGGCGGGUUUGACGGAGCGGCGAACGGGUGCGUAACACGUGACCAAUCUGCCCCGAAGACCGGGAUAGCCCGGGGAAACCCGGAUUAAUACCGGAUGAUCUCAUCAUCACGCAUGUGGAGAUGAGCAAAGGUUCAGGCGCUUCGGGAUGAGGUCGCGGCCCAUCAGCUUGUUGGUGAGGUAAUGGCUCACCAAGGCAAUGACGGGUAGCUGGUCUGAGAGGACGAUCAGCCACACUGGAACUGAGAUACGGUCCAGACUCCUACGGGAGGCAGCAGGAGGGAAUCUUGCGCAAUGGGCGAAAGCCUGACGCAGCGACGCCGCGUGGGGGAUGAAUGCCUUAGGGUUGUAAACCCCUUUCACGAGGGAAGAAAAUGACGGUACCUCGAGAAGAAGCCCCGGCCAACUACGUGCCAGCAGCCGCGGUAAUACGUAGGGGGCGAGCGUUGUCCGGAUUUAUUGGGCGUAAAGGGCUCGUAGGCGGCUUGGCAAGUCGGCCGUGAAAACCCAGGGCUCAACUCUGGGACGCCGGUCGAUACUGCCAUGGCUAGGGUCCGGUAGAGGGGAAUGGAAUUCCCGGUGUAGCGGUGAAAUGCGCAGAUAUCGGGAGGAACACCAGUAGCGAAGGCGGUUCCCUGGGCCGGCACCGACGCUGAGGAGCGAAAGCGUGGGGAGCAAACAGGAUUAGAUACCCUGGUAGUCCACGCCGUAAACGUUGGGUACUA
rnacentral:rRNA from 1 species